UCGCCAGCUGCCGCUGGGCCAAUCACAGCGCGGGGGCGGGGCCAACGCAAAGGCCUAGGCCGGCCUCUUGUAGUCACGCCCCACGCGGGGGGGGGGGGGGGCGGUGGUAGGCAGCCGGGUGUUAGAGAUGGCAAGGGUUGCUGUCAAAGGGUGGGGAAAUGUCCCGCGCAGACGAGCAUUGAGAACUAGCUGAGCUGUGGUAGAGCUGGCGGUGGGCCACACAAGGGUACAGAUGGCACCAGAGAAAAUGGGAUGGGAUGGGAUGGGUCCCUCACUGCCCUGGAGGGGAGAGGCCGGAGGCCUAGCCAUGGAGACCGGCCUGAGCCUGAUUCUUUCCUUUUCCACAGGGACCCUUGGGAAGGUAAAAGAAAGAGAAGGCGCCCAAACCCACCAAGAAGCCCAAGGAAAAGGCACCCAAGGGCUCCAAGAAAGACAAGGAGAAAGUGCCCAAACCCACCAAGAAACCCAAGGAGAAACUACCUAAGGGCUCUGAGAAGCCCAAAGAGAAAGCUCCCAAGCCCACCAAAAAACCCAAGGAGAAGCCUCCCAAAGCCACCAAAAAGCCAUCAGGAAAGAAAAAGCCGGAGGCAACACCCCCUGUCCAACCUGAGAAGGAAGAGAAGGACAGGUAUUACCAGCCUGAGGAUCCCUUGUUCCCUCCCUCUGCCAGAGAGGAAGAUGACUACGGGGUGGCCGAGCCCUCCAGGCUCCCCUCACCGUAUGACAAGGAGGAGGAGAGAUCCCAGGUGUAUGGGGGACGGGACAGAGGUGAGUACAGGCGGUGCCAUCAGAAACCCAAGAAGCCACCCAGCAGGAAGAAAACAGAAAGGAUCAGGCUGGAACCAGAGCCUGAACUGCAGCCGAAGAAGCCAAACGUGGGCAGGGAAGCCAGUGGAGCCGCCCACGCCACCUGCGAAGACCAACUAUGAGGAGGGGCUAGAGCAGCUGGACUGAUGACAGUUUUGUUUCCAUCUGUGGUGAGCUCCGCAGCAGAGAGGUGUGAAGCCGGCCAGGAAGGAAGGGGAGGGAAAACCCCAUUAGCUUUGAACACACCAUUUUAGGGGUUCUCUGCUUUUCGGAGACUCUGACUGGCCCAGCUGGACCCCCCUGCCUCCCACCCAGGAGCCUAUAAAGGCAGCAAGGGAGAGUGCCCCACCAGUGGCAGGGCAGAGGCACACCAAUGGCUUUGGCACUGAUCAUCCCCUUGGUCCUUGCUGUGGCCACAGCAUUUGUCCCAGCAGGACCAGUUCCCCCAAAGAUGCCUCCAGGGCCCGGCGUACUGGUGCCAGGAUGCAGAAACAGCCGCCGAGUGCCAGAAAGAGCAGUUCUGCUUGAGCUUCUGGGACACUGCUCUGUGGGAUCAGCUGGAGGAGGGAGCCCUAAUCCCAAAGCCCAAGAUAUUCUGUACCACCUGCAUCAAAGUCAUUCAGUGGCUCCAGUCCAAGGUGGGGGAGGAUGCUGACGAGACCACCAUCGAGAAGGCUGUGAAGAGGGUGUGCAGGGUGCUGGGCAAGCGCCUGGGCCAGGCAUGCACAUCUCUGGUGAAGAAAUACAGGGACAAGAUUAUCAAUGCACUGCAGAAUGACAGUGAUCCCCAGGACACUUGCAGGAAACUGAGGCUGUGCUUGGGCUCCCAGGAACUGCUAGAUGACCUGAGCUGAUGCGUUCCCUGGAGGAGGCCCAGCUGGUGCCCACCCUCCCCACUGCUGCAGACGGCCUGGGGAGCUCAAAGCAUCGCAGCAGGCCUCAAAGCAUCACAGUGGACAACUCAACAGCUGAACCCUGAUGCAGCUCCCUGCCAGCAGCAUGUGCUUUGCAUCACCUGUCUCCAGCAGCUUCGCUGGCCAUCUAGGCUGCAUCCGAAGCUGGUAACACAGCCCGAGAGGGUGCCGCCAGCUGGACCUGCCCCUCCUUCCCCUGCCUCUGGCUUCCUCAGCAAUAAAGCACCGUAGGCAAUGCAA